UGGCUAUGUAGCUCAGUUGGUUAGAGCACCGCACUCAUAAUGCGGGGGUCACAAGUUCAAGUCUCGUCAUAGCCACCAU
rnacentral:tRNA from 1 species